rnacentral:lncRNA from 10 species
ACGCCCCCGCCCUCCCCUUCCAGCCCGUGGCUCGGCGACUUACAGGGAGGGAGAACAUGGCUGCUGGCUUUUAGCACCUGGUGGGUUUCGCGCCUUGCAACUCGACAACUGCCGGGACGGAGUCUGGCUGCGCGACCCCCUGCGGCAGGUGCUGGGCGAGGCGCCUCCCCUGCAACUAGCCUGCCGCUUCCCUCCCGGCACCCCCGCCGCCAGCCCCGAGCGCGGACCUGGAGCGGAGAAGAGAGAGUCUUGCUCUGUUGCCCAGGCCGGAGUGCAAUGGUGCAAUGUCAGCUUACUGCAACCUCCACCUCCCAGGUUCAAGCCAUCCUCCUGCCUCAGCCUCCUGAGUAGCUGGGAGCCAUCACGCCCAGCUAGCCAUCUUCUAAUUUUCAUUCCUUCAAAGCUCCUGCCCCGGAGCCGGGCCCUGGCGAGGCAGGAAUGGCCCCGAGGCCUCCGACCGCCGCGCCCCAGGAAUCAGUGACAUUCAAAGAUGUGUCUGUGGACUUCACCCAGGAAGAAUGGUACCAUGUCGACCCUGCUCAGAGGAGCUUAUACAGGGAUGUGAUGCUGGAGAACUAU